GACGAACGCUGGCGGCGUGCUUAACACAUGCAAGUCGAACGAAGAGCGAUGGAAGCUUGCUUCUAUCAAUCUUAGUGACGAACGGGUGAGUAACGCGUAAUCAACCUGCCCUUCAGAGGGGGACAACAGUUGGAAACGACUGCUAAUACCGCAUACGAUCUAACCUCGGCAUCGAGGAUAGAUGAAAGGUGGCCUCUACAUGUAAGCUAUCACUGAAGGAGGGGAUUGCGUCUGAUUAGCUAGUUGGAGGGGUAACGGCCCACCAAGGCGAUGAUCAGUAGCCGGUCUGAGAGGAUGAACGGCCACAUUGGGACUGAGACACGGCCCAGACUCCUACGGGAGGCAGCAGUGGGGAAUCUUCCGCAAUGGACGAAAGUCUGACGGAGCAACGCCGCGUGAGUGAUGACGGCCUUCGGGUUGUAAAGCUCUGUUAAUCGGGACGAAAGGCCUUCUUGCGAAUAGUUAGAAGGAUUGACGGUACCGGAAUAGAAAGCCACGGCUAACUACGUG
rnacentral:rRNA from 1 species